rnacentral:rRNA from 1 species
GGGGGGAGCAAGCGUUGUUCGGAAUCACUGGGCGUAAAGGGUGUGUAGGCGGGCAGGCAAGUCGGACGUGAAAACUCCAGGCUCAACCUGGAGCCUGCGUUCGAAACUACUUGUCUUGAGUACGGGAGAGGAAAGUGGAAUUCCUGGUGUAGCGGUGAAAUGCGUAGAUAUCAGGAGGAACACCGGUGGCGAAGGCGGCUUUCUAGCCCGAUACUGACGCUGAGACACGAAGGCUAGGGGAGCAAACAGGAUUAGAUACCCUGGUAGUCCUAGCGGUAAACGUUGGGCACUAGGUGUUGUCCCUUUUAAACCCGGGGGCAGUGCCGCAGUUAACGCACUAAGUGCCCCGCCUGGGGAGUACGACCGCAAGGUUG